rnacentral:snoRNA from 1 species
UUCAAAUGAUUAAUAACAUAUAUUUGCUACUUCAGAGGAGACCAUCAAGCUCCAAUGAGACAUUUUAUUAUCACCAAGAUCUCUGAUGAU